AUUGAACGCUGGCGGCAUGCCUUACACAUGCAAGUCGAACGGUAACAGGUCUUCGGACGCUGACGAGUGGCGAACGGGUGAGUAAUGCAUCGGAACGUGCCCAGUCGUGGGGGAUAACUGCUCGAAAGAGCGGCUAAUACCGCAUACGACCUGAGGGUGAAAGCGGGGGACCGUAAGGCCUCGCGCGAUUGGAGCGGCCGAUGUCAGAUUAGCUAGUUGGUGGGGUAAAGGCCUACCAAGGCAACGAUCUGUAGUUGGUCUGAGAGGACGACCAGCCACACUGGGACUGAGACACGGCCCAGACUCCUACGGGAGGCAGCAGUGGGGAAUUUUGGACAAUGGGCGCAAGCCUGAUCCAGCAAUGCCGCGUGCAGGAAGAAGGCCUUCGGGUUGUAAACUGCUUUUGUCAGGGAAGAAAUCUUCUGGGCUAAUACCCCGGGAGGAUGACGGUACCUGAAGAAUAAGCACCGGCUAACUACGUG
rnacentral:rRNA from 1 species